UACGUAGGGGGCAAGCGUUGUCCGGAUUUAUUGGGCGUAAAGAGCGUGUAGGCGGCCAGAUAGGUCAGCUGUGAAAACUCGAGGCUCAACCUCGAGACGUCGGUUGAAACCAUCUGGCUAGAGUCCGGAAGAGGAGAGUGGAAUUCCCGGUGUAGCGGUGAAAUGCGCAGAUAUCGGGAAGAACACCCGUGGCGAAGGCGGCUCUCUGGGACGGUACUGACGCUGAGGAGCGAAAGCGUGGGGAGCAAACAGG
rnacentral:rRNA from 1 species